rnacentral:rRNA from 1 species
AUUGAACGCUGGCGGCAUGCCUUACACAUGCAAGUCGGACGGUAACAGGUCUUCGGAUGCUGACGAGUGGCGAACGGGUGAGUAAUGCAUCGGAACGUGCCCAGUUGUGGGGGAUAACUGCUCGAAAGAGCAGCUAAUCCCGCAUACGACCUGAGGGUGAAAGCGGGGGAUCGCAAGACCUCGCGCAAUUGGAGCGGCCGAUGUCAGAUUAGGUAGUUGGUGGGGUAAAGGCCUACCAAGCCGACGAUCUGUAGUUGGUCUGAGAGGACGACCAGCCACACUGGGACUGAGACACGGCCCAGACUCCUACGGGAGGCAGCAGUGGGGAAUUUUGGACAAUGGGCGCAAGCCUGAUCCAGCAAUGCCGCGUGCAGGAAGAAGGCCUUCGGGUUGUAAACUGCUUUUGUCAGGGAAGAAAUCCUCUGGGUUAAUACCCCGGGGGGAUGACGGUACCUGAAGAAUAAGCACCGGCUAACUACGUGCCAGCCGCCGCCGUAA